AUGGGAACGCGAAGAACCUUACCUACUCUUGACAUCCAGAGAACUUUCCAGAGAUGGAUUGGUGCCUUCGGGAACUCUGAGACAGGUGCUGCAUGGCUGUCGUCAGCUCGUGUUGUGAAAUGUUGGGUUAAGUCCCGCAACGAGCGCAACCCGUUAUCCUUUGUUGCCAGCGGUUAGGCCGGGAACUCAAAGGAGACUGCCAGUGAUAAACUGGAGGAAGGUGGGGAUGACGUCAAGUCAUCAUGGCCCUUACGAGUAGGGCUACACACGUGCUACAAUGGCGCAUACAAAGAGAAGCGACCUCGCGAGAGCAAGCGGACCUCAUAAAGUGCGUCGUAGUCCGGAUUGGAGUCUGCAACUCGACUCCAUGAAGUCGGAAUCGCUAGUAAUCGUAGAUCAGAAUGCUACGGUG
rnacentral:rRNA from 1 species